rnacentral:misc_RNA from 1 species
UGUGAGCCAGCUCCUCUUAAAUGAAUCAGCUUGCCGGUGUUUGGUGGCAUCACAGGUGUGAUAACUAUCUACGCUUGUGGUUUCCCAUCAGGUAACCUUCAGCGAUGGAGGUUCACCGGGGCUUAUAAACAUCUCUCCUCAGUGAGGACAGAUUUUGACCGUUUGAUCUCAAAUCAGGUAGGACUACCCGCUGAACUUAA